AGCGCAGUUUUAUCAGUGCGAAACACACACAGGAAUUCCGGUCUGGGAAUGACCGUCCGAUUCCUAACUUCCACAGGAAGAUUAGCAUAAAAAGCUCCCCUACAGCCACAAAUGUGUUUCAUUUCUUGCCAGUCCGCCCUGGGGUCUUUCCAAAUCCACAUCAGCACUAGGAUGUGUGUUAGAAACAGCGUCCUUGUGAACAUUUUUUUUUUUUUCCGAUAUCUGGUCACUUCAGUUGGUACACCUAUAUUCCAGAGCAGACGCACGGCGGGAUGUGCGUUAAGGCAUCGAUUCACAAAGAUAGAAGAGUCGUUUCUGCCUACAAUCAUCUCUAUGAAGCCAUUUCACGGUGCAUUAUUACUUUUGGUACGCGCUAGGCCUGCCUCAAACUCGUACCGUGAGUAAUAAUGCACAGUGGUGGUCACUGCCUGCUUCCCAGCGCCUGGACCCAGAGAGCACAAGGACUUCAACGCAGUGGACCGAGAUUCAAAUGAAAGCAUGUUGAUAUUUGCCACACCAUUUAAACACCACAUUUAUGGCAACCUUUGAUGUAUGUGCAUUAUUAAUGAAACUCAGUGCUCAAUGUGGUUUGUAGUGGACGGGGGGGGGGGGGGGAUGUGUCAAUGCGUGGAGGUCAAGUCAAAUGUUUCAUUGAAAGUGAGGAAGAAGAAUAUAACACCUAACCACCACACAGGUCCCAAAAGAUCCUCACCCGAAAAUAGCCUCCUGAUUGGAACAGAGUAUUAUUAACCCGCAUUUGUUUAUUUAUUUAUUUAUUUAUUGAGGAUCAAGGGGAGGAAGCCUUUCAAGUAUUUUUUAAUAUGGUCCCCUGUUAAUUCCAUCUCCCUCUCUUCCCUAGUAAUUUAUUUUAUUCAAGCUUCACAGCUCCGCUGUCUGGUUUGCAAUCUUCUCGCCCCAGCUGUAAAUUGCUGUCUUAAUGUCCAGCAGGAUUCCAUUUGGCUGGUUGAUUAGCUCCUCCAAGGGUCCUGAUGUGGCAGCGGAAAAAACAUCAGCCUGCUUCAUUUGCUUUCCUGUAGGCUCGGCAGAGAUCUAAACACCGAUUUUAUUUCUCAUAUGACAUGAAUAACCACACAUGAUUGAAAAGAAUGGAGAAAAAAAAACACCAGAACCUGAGUUAAAGAAUGUAAUAAAAAUAUUGCAUGGAUCAAGGAUUUGAACAAGGCCUGGUCUAUUCCUUUAUUUGUCCAUUUUAUUCUUUCUCUCUCAUAUACACACACACACACACACACACACACACACACACACACGAAGAGGGAGCUGUUUGAGUGUUGAUAGCUCACUAAAAUUAGCUUUUUAGCUAAUUAUCUUAAUGAAGACAUUUAGACAGUUAUUGUAAUCAGAUACAAACUCUAUUCUAAUUCUAUUAAUGUUCCUUUUUUAUUGUGUGCUAUUUAUUUUAUUUCAUGAACAUAAUGAUUCAGAUGUAAUUAUAACUGAGAAAUAAUUGUGCCUGUCAGUAAGAAUUGAAGUUACAUUCAAUUAUGCCUCGGUCAUUAAAUGAAAAUAGUAAUUAUUAGAAAGACUGCUUCUUAUGGAGAAAGUCAUCUAAUGUGACUUUUCAAACUCUCCAAUGCUUGUGCAUGUUCCAACAAACAUAAAAGCGGUGCAUGAAUGAAAGUAAAAAUGACAAAAUAAAUCUGCUAUGCAUAGUUUUGAAAUGGAUGUAUCUUGAUAAUUGACUAGCAAUCAUUAACUUGGUGAAUAGUUCUAGUGUUUUGUUUAGGUAAAAGGACUGAUGCAGUGAUGAACACAUGUGGGCAGAAAACUAAGUAAUCACUUCUCUGAAUCACUGUUCUGUUAGCCUUCUCCUAGAGGUGAAAAAACAACAGUUUUAAAGAAACAUUAUAUAUGUAUAACACAGACACACACACACACACACACACAUAAAUGUAUAAAAUGCAGACGCAGACACAGACACACACACACACAUAAAUGUAUACAAUGCAGACACAGACACACACACACACACACACACACAUACAUUUAUAA
ensembl:lncRNA